ACUGGAAAAACUGGUAGGAGUUCGUAGUUUAGACCGACUGGUUUUGAGUUGAGAAAUCGAAUCAAAAGCAGAAGGGAAAACCACAAACAAAAUACUCAAGAGAGAAAAAAUUGGUCAAGAUAGAAAGGGCUGACGGUGGAUACCUAGGCACACAGAGGGUUAGAGCGCACCCCUGAUAAGGGUGAGGUCCCUGGUUCGAGUCCAGGAUGGCCCACCUGCACAGGUGGCAAAAACAAGAGAAGCGAGGAAUCAGCACCUUAUCUUACUGACAUAGCAAGAGAGAAUGCUGGCUCUGAGUAAAGAGUCCAGAGGAACCUUGAAAACUGCAUAGAGCUAGGUGAAAAAGCCAAAAAAGAAGACCGCAAG
rnacentral:misc_RNA from 1 species